rnacentral:snRNA from 1 species
AAGAAGAAGAAGAAACUA